AUGUUGAUGGUUCAGUGGUAGAUUUCACACCUUCCAUGUGGGAGACCCAGGUUCAGGUCCUGGCCAGUGUA
rnacentral:tRNA from 1 species